AGGACGAACGCUGGCGGCGUGCUUAACACAUGCAAGUCGAGCGGUAAGGCCUUUCGGGGUACACGAGCGGCGAACGGGUGAGUAACACGUGGGUGAUCUGCCCUGCACUCUGAGAUAAGCCUGGGAAACUGGGUCUAAUACCGGAUAUGACCUGCUCUCGCAGUGGGGGUGGGUGGAAAGAUUUAUCGGUGCAGGAGUGGGCCCGCGGCCUAUCAGCUUGUUGGUGGGUAAUGGCCUACCAAGGCGACGACGGGUAGCCGACCUGAGAGGGUGACCGGCCACACUGGGACUGAGACACGGCCCAGACUCCGAUGGGAGGCAGCGAGGUGGGAAUAUUGCAACGAAGUGGGACGAAAGCCGUAGAGUGACACGACGACGGCCGACGGUGGAAGGGA
rnacentral:rRNA from 1 species